rnacentral:rRNA from 1 species
UACCAGCACCCCGAGUGGUCGGGACGUUUAUUGGGCCUAAAGCAUCCGUAGCCGGUUUUACAAGUCUUCCGUUAAAUCCACCUGCUUAACAGAUGGGCUGCGGGAGAUACUACAGGGCUAGGAGGCGGGAGAGGCAAGCGGUACUUUAUGGGUAGGGGUAAAAUCCGCUGAUCCAUAGAAGACCACCAGUGGCGAAGGCGGCUUGCCAGAACGCGCUCGACGGUGAGGGAUGAAAGCUGGGGGAGCAAACCGG